rnacentral:rRNA from 1 species
AACGAACGCUGGCGGCAUGCCUAACACAUGCAAGUCGAACGAGACCUUCGGGUCUAGUGGCGCACGGGUGAGUAACGCGUGGGAACCUGCCCUUAGGUUCGGAAUAACUCCCCGAAAGGGGUGCUAAUACCGGAUAAUGUCUUCGGACCAAAGAUUUAUCGCCUUUGGAUGGGCCCGCGUUGGAUUAGCUAGUUGGUAGGGUAAAAGCCUACCAAGGCGACGAACCAUAGCUGGUCUGAGAGGAUGAUCAGCCACACUGGGACUGAGACACGGCCCAGACUCCUACGGGAGGCAGCAGUGGGGAAUAUUGGACAAUGGGCGAAAGCCUGAUCCAGCAAUGCCGCGUGAGUGAUAAAGGCCUUAGGGUUGUAAAGCUCUUUUACCCGGGAUGAUAAUGACAGUACCGGGAGAAUAAGCUCCGGCUAACUCCGUG